rnacentral:rRNA from 1 species
CCCUUAGAUGUUCUGGGCUGCACGCGCGCGACAAUGACGUUUGCAACGAGAUUGCGAGGCCGUCAGGUCGAGCUGAUCUUGCAAGCUGCGUCGUGAUAGGGACAGUCGAUUGCAAUUAUUCGACUCGAACGAGGAAUUCCUUGUAAUCGCGCAUCAUCAGUGCGCGCUGAAUACGUCCCUGCCCUUUGUACACACCGCCCGUCGCUCCUACCGAUUGAAUGUGUUGGUGAGGAGCUCGGAUUGGCAGCAGUUGGUGGUUCGCCACCGGCUAUUGCUGAGAAGUCCUCCAAACCGCCCCAUUUAGAGGAAGGAGAAGUCGUAACA